rnacentral:rRNA from 1 species
AUUGAACGCUGGCGGCAGGCCUAACACAUGCAAGUCGAACGAGUGGCGGACGUGUGCGUAAUGUCUGGGACACUGCCUGAUGGCGGGGGCUAACUACUGGACACGGUCUCUAAUCCCGCAUACCAUCGGAUGUGCCCAGAUGGGAUUCGCUAGUAGGUGGGGUAAAGGCUCACCUAGGCGACGAUCCCUAGCUGGUCUGAGAGGAUGACCAGCCACACUGGGACUGAGACACGGUCCAGACUCCUACGGGAGGCAGCAGUGGGGAAUAUUGCACAAUGGGCGCAAGCCUGAUGCAGCCAUGCCGCGUGUAUGAAGAAGGCCUUCGGGUUGUAAAGUACUUUCAGCAGGGAGGCGUUACCCACAGAAGAAGCACCGGCUAACUCCGUGCCAGCAGCCGCGGUAAUUC